GAUGAACGCUAGCGGCAGGCCUAACACAUGCAAGUCGAGGGGUAACGUGAGUGCUUGCACUUGACGACGACCGGCGCACGGGUGCGGAACGCGUAUGGAACCUACCUUUAUCAGGGGGAUAGCCCAUGGAAACGUGGAUUAAUACCCCAUAGUAUUAUUUUAUUGCAUGAUAGAAUAAUUAAAGAAUUUCGGAUAGAGAUGGCCAUGCGUAUCAUUAGCUAGUAGGCGAGGUAACGGCUCACCUAGGCGACGAUGAUUAGGGGUCCUGAGAGGGAGAUCCCCCACACUGGUACUGAGACACGGACCAGACUCCUACGGGAGGCAGCAGUGAGGAAUAUUGGGCAAUGGAGGCAACUCUGACCCAGCCAUGCCGCGUGCAGGAAGACGGCCCUAUGGGUUGUAAACUGCUUUUAUACAGGAAGAACACCACCCACGUGUGGGUGACUGACGGUACUGUAAGAAUAAGGACCGGCUAACUCCGUG
rnacentral:rRNA from 1 species